GGCCCCCUCUGGGCUGGGCCUCCCAAUAUCUGUCCAAGCUAAGCAAUGUAGAUUAAAACUUGGCCAAUUAGGUAGUUACCUAGCACUUAAGACCUAAAUAGCUUGGAGAUAAAAUGCUUCUGGAAGGCCAACACUAAGUUCACAUUUUGGAAUGGCUCAAAGUUAGGGCGCAAGGCCCUUGACAAUCACUCGAUGGUUGAUCGACAAAACUAAGGCUGUGGGGCAAGUCUCAAAGGCCACUUCAACAGCAAGUUCAUACCUCAGCCCCUAGUAAAGGAUCAACCGAGCUGAAAGUCAAUAACACCAGCCACACCAUUCAUCAAAGCAAAAGAUAUAGGAAGAUAAUUUUUUCUAUUAAUCAAUUUUGAUUAUAAAAUUGUUAGCUAGGGAUCUGAGCAUAUGUGCAAAAAGAAAAGCAAAAGCCUAAGUCUAUGGGUGGAUCUGCUAAGGUAGUUAUUAGAUGAAAUGCUACACCACAACUCCAUCC
rnacentral:lncRNA from 1 species